GUUAAUGAAGCAUAACUGGAUAUGCAAAAGACCUAAGCCCUUUUAUUAGGAGGUUCAAAUCCACCCUUUAACU
rnacentral:tRNA from 1 species